GGGACCGUCAGGAGCUUGGUUUUAUGUUGGUGUCGAAGCCUGGUGACGCCACUAACGUCACUUAUCUUAAUUAAGCAAUUAUACUUUCUGGGCACAUAGGGCAGCAUCAUAUCGGCUAUAAAAGAGCAUGGCAUCUGCUAGCUGAGAGCCCGGGAGUAGAGCAGCGACACACUGAGAUGGUUGCACAUAGUAUGGAACAGACAUCAAUUAAGGCUGUCACUGAAAU